rnacentral:lncRNA from 1 species
CACGCUUGAUGUUGGAUAAAUGUGUAUUGUGUGAAUAUGCAACUUUUAACAUGUAUGAAUUUAUAAGGCAACAAACAACUUUUCUAAAUAUGUUAUAUGGGGUAGACCUUAGGCAAAGGUGGUUUGAUUGUUGGAGGUUUCAAGCACUCUAAUAUUCGUGUUCUCAUGCGGUUAUAGCAUGUACCAUUUUUUAUGUCAACUAUAUGCAAA